AAAAGACACAUUUCUGUAAUUCUAUCUUGACGUUUUGACGUAAUCCUGCAAUGCACCAUUGCAGGAUUACGUCGAAACUCGAUAGAAUCACAGAAAUGUGUCCCUUU
rnacentral:pre_miRNA from 1 species